rnacentral:lncRNA from 1 species
CUUCUUUUAGCCACUCAGGGACGACUUCUAAAUCUGUUUCCACCGUCCUGGCACUGACAUUUUUGAAGCAAAUCAUCAACUCUCUCGCAUCUCCAUUUUGUUUGACAGCCGGCAAGACAGCCGAAGCACUGUGACAAAUUACUAACAUCAGAAAUCCCAUCAAGGAAUAUUGUGAAAAAUAGAAACUCUGCAACUACGUCGUUCAGAGCCCCCGACAUCACGGCUGCAAGUAGCAUCAAUCACAGACCUUGCCAGAUAUGAUCAGACAGUCUCUGAAACACCUUUGCACUCUCCAGAAGUGUUGUUAGCUACACACCGUACUUAUGAACUCCUCCUUGGAGCUGCCUUUCCAAAAACACUGCUGCAAGAGGGAAGCAGUAGAAAUGGUGUUUUCGGACUAACAGCAAGGGAAAGAUUCAGGAAGUUCUGCUGUGCUCCCUUUCAGGUGGAUGAGGCCAUACUGGAAACGCGGAACUGGAACGCGCCAUGCGAGCGCUGCCCCGUCUCCUUUAGGCUGUACUCGUGCAGUGAGAAGAGCUGACUUGCUGCACAGAUGAAAGGAGGAAGUAAACAGGAGCAACAAAUCCGUGCUCAAGGCAGCACCUCGUCAUCCGAUGCUCGGGCUCACCGAGGGGCCAGCCGCGGGUUAGCGCCGUCGUGCUCGGCUCUGGAAAACAAGCCGUGACGGACAGCUCCUGUGCCCUGACACCCAAUCUCUGCACUCAACUGCAGAAAAUCAAAACAUUCAGCGCAAGCAGAGGCGCUCGGGUCACACGACAGCUGGCCAGGAUCCAGCUCCUCUCCCUAUGCUCUUUGGGCUGGGUAAACUUGCUUAGAUUUUUCUUUUAAUGUAACUUUACUCCAAUUUUGCUUUAACUUGUAUGUCAAGAUGAAAGGUUUUUUUUUUUCAGGAUUAUAGUUAUUUCACGCUAACCUGGAGACCCAAGAAAUUGGAAUGGAACUCCUAAAACAUGCUGUAGCUUUAUGUGACAGGUACAAAACCAGAGCUAUUGGUGAUCUGAACUAUAAUUACAGGAAUACACACAAAACAGGCCUGAAAGGGGCCUCAGCAUAGCCACAUAGUCCAUUCCUCUGCUUCAUGACAGGAACAUUUUAACCUAGACCGCUCCUGAGAGGGAUUUGUCUAACCUAUUUUAGAAACCUCCUCAAAAAGCCUACUGAAGAGGGCUAGCUAUUCAAAUUACAGCUCUACAGCCUUUCAAGUGGAUAGUUUCUCCUAAAUCUCCUUGCAAUUUAAACACACUAAUGCUUGUCCAAUAGAGACUGGUCGUGCAGAAAAGUAUGCUACCUUCCUGGUUUUCGCAAUGUUUUGAGGACUAUUAUCUUGUCUGUUAGUUAUCCUUUCUCCUUUCAGAUAUCCUUUCCUCAAAGGACGACCUUACAGCAAUCAAUACUCCUGUCAAAAGUGAGCUGCGCCACUGAAAAGCCUGCUUAUUCCAUCUCCAUGGAGCCAGCACGGCCCCCGGAGCUGCAGGCACUAAAGCAAUACUAGUCUUUACACAAGACAGUACAUAUCACGA